rnacentral:tRNA from 1 species
AUUUAAGUAGCUUAUAUUUAGAGCAUAGUAUUGAAGAUACUAAAGAAGUGAUUAACUCUUAAAUA